rnacentral:rRNA from 1 species
GAGGAAUAUUGGUCAAUGGGCGAGAGCCUGAACCAGCCAAGUCGCGUGAAGGAUGACUGUCUUAUGGAUUGUAAACUUCUUUUAUACGGGAAUAACAAGAGUCACGUGUGGCUCCCUGCAUGUACCGUAUGAGUAAGCAUCGGCUAACUCCGUGCCAGCAGCCGCGGUAAUACGGAGGAUGCGAGCGUUAUCCGGAUUUAUUGGGUUUAAAGGGUGCGUAGGCGGCCUGUUAAGUCAGCGGUGAAAUCUAGGAGCUUAACUCCUAAAUUGCCAUUGAUACUGGCGGGCUUGAGUGUAGAUGAGGUAGGCGGAAUGCGUGGUGUAGCGGUGGAAUGCAUAGAUAUCACGCAGAACUCCGAUUGCGAAGGCAGCUUACUAAGGUACAACUGACGCUGAAGCACGAAAGCGUGGGUAUCAAACAGGAUUAGAUACCCUGGUAGUCCACGCAGUAAACGAUGAUAACUGGGCGUAUGCGAUAUACAGUAUGCUCCUAAGCGAAAGCGUUAAGUUAUCCACCUGGGGAGUACGCCGGCAACGGUG